rnacentral:ncRNA from 2 species
CCCUUAUUCAGAGUGAUGGAGAUACAUAGGAUCUGUGAAGUCACGGCAACCCCGUUUUGGAAGGUGCCAGCCUGAGCGAGAUAUGCCAUUGCCCCGUAUGCUGCAUGAUGCGGUGCAAAUGGCUCGAACAAUAAGAG